UGUAGGCAUCUUGAGUAAACAAUGACACUAUGAUCCAGCAUGUGCUUCUCUGUGUGCUUUGGGGAUGUACAUUUUGUGGAAAUAAAAAAGAGAACUGUUUCUGCCGUUUUCCCAUGCAAGGAAGUCGAAGGUUUGGCCGUGGUUUGCCUGUUGGUUUCUAGCCCAAUGGCCUGGAUAAGCCACACGGAUGGGUGCUUUUGCUGUGAUGAACAUACCUCCUUUGCUAGUCCAGUGAAUCGGACCUAAUUAAAAUACAAGCUGUGGACCACAGAUGAUACAUCAUUGCUCAUUGUGUUACACCACCAUCUUCAAAAGUCUGAGCCUGAUGGAAGGUCCUUGCAUCCCCUGGUCCACAACGAAGAGUAUAAGGGUGCAAUGCACAGAUGCUUGGUUCUGAGCCCACCUGCCUGCCCACACACUGCCCGGCUCAAAAAAUGCAGCCAUCCUGCCAUGAAAUUCUGCCCAGGACACAAGAUCCUCACAAGCUGAAACUGCUCACAGUCACCAAGAAGAACAGGACACAGUGUCUUCCAAAGAUUUGCCUUUAUCUUUGCAAGGAACAUAGAAUAAAAUGAGCUCCUCCCUCUGCAUGGCCAUUUUUCCUGUCUCGAAAAUGCUCCCGCUAAGCCU